GAUGCAAAGAGCUACUGUAAAGUAAAAAUUACAGCAACCUUUGAUAAUAGAAAUGAGGUAGGAAUUGAAAUAUAAGAAGAAAAAUUAAUACCUUAUGAGAUUGCAAUUAAAAUGAAUGAAUCAAAGUGAUUGUGAGUUGACAUAAGAAUCGAACUGAUUGCAACAUCAAAGUCAACAGGAUUUACAAGUGCAACCUGGGAUUCCUAUUGCAAUCAGAAUCGAGUUUCUCUCUCUAAUUCAUGGUGGAUUAGGGUUUUUUGAAUUGCAAAACUCUAAUCCACCA